GUCCUAGCCUUGUCAUUAACUCUCUCUUAACUUAUACAUGCAAGUUUCAGCACCCCAGUGAGAACCCCCUUUAACCUCCACCAGGCCAAGGAGCCGGCAUCAGGCUCUAUCAUAAGCCCACAACGCCUAGUCUCACCACACCCCCAAGGGUAAUCAGCAGUAAUAAAUCUUGUUCAUAAGCGUCAGCUUGACUCAGUUAAAGAGAAGAGGGCCGGCUAACCCGGUGCCAGCCGCCGCGGCUAUACCCAGGGGCCCAAGUUAAUGACCCACGGCGUCAAGCGUGAUUAAAGUUUUUGAAAUUAGUGCCAAAUUAAUACUUAGUAGUAACAAACUUGUCAUUAAGAAAAACACAAACGAAAGUUGCCCUAAUAAAUAUACUUGAAUACACGACAGUUAGGAGAACAAACUGGGAUCAGAUACCCCACUAUGCCUAACCGUAAACAAUUAAUUUACAUACCCAACGCCAGGGAAUUACGAGUAAUGCUUAAAACCCAAAGGAUUUGACGGUGUCCCACCCACCUAGAGGAGCCUGUUCUUUAAUCGAUACCCCCCGCUAUACCUGACCAUUCUUAGCCUAUCAGUCUGUAUACCUCCGUCGAAAGCUUACCAUGUGAACGUCUCCAGUAAGCUAAAUGACCCCAUCAACACGUCAGGUCAAGGUGCAGCUCACGGAAUGGGAAGUAAUGGGCUACAGUCUCUAAUAUAAAACAAACGAAAGAUUAUGUGAAAUCAUAACCACGAAGGCGGAUUUAGUAGUAAAAAGAAAAUAGAGAGUUCUUUUUAACCCGGCUCUGGGACGUGUACACACCGCCCGUCACCCUCUUCAGUUUCAUCUAUACGUUUUUAACCUAUCCCUACAUUAUAGAAGAGGCAAGUCGUAACAUGGUAAGUGUACUGGAAAGUGCACUUGGAUUAANN
rnacentral:ncRNA from 1 species